AAUAUUGGACAAUGGGGGGAACCCUGAUUCAGCUAUGCCGCGUGUGUGAAGAAGGUAUUCGGAUUGUAAAGCACUUUAUGUUGGGAGGAUGAGUUCUAGACUAAUACCUUGCAAUUUUGACGUUACCAACAGAAUAAGAACCGGCUAACUUCGAGCCAGCAGCCGCGGUAAUACGAAGGGUGCAAGCGUUAAUCGGAAUUACUGGGGGUAAAGCGCGCGUAGGUGGUUCGUUAAGUUGGAAGUGAAAGCCCCGGGCUUAACCUGGGAAUUGCUUUCAAAACUGACGAGCUAGAGUACGGUAGAGGGUAGUGGAAUUUCCUGUGUAGCGGUGAAAUGCGUAGAUAUAGGAAGGAACAUCAGUGGCGAAGGCGACUACCUGGACUGAUACUGACACUGAGGUGCGAAAGCGUGGGGAGCAAAC
rnacentral:rRNA from 1 species